UGAGAUAGGCCAGCGUGCUUUAUCGAGCCC
rnacentral:piRNA from 1 species